ACAGAAUUUUAUUAAAUACUUCAAAGCUGUAUUAAUGAAUCUUUUAAAGUGAUAUGCUUUAUCAAAUUACUCUUUCAAAGAAUGCAUUUCUAGUCCAAUUCAUCAAGCUCCUAGAACCUAAAUUGCAUUCCACACCAGUGACCAUAAAAAUUUAAUUUAGCGGAUUUAAAAAAUAACAUGUAAAAAAAGAAAAUAUGAGGCAUAGUAGAAAUAUGAAAAGUAAACAGAUCAUUUUUUUGUACAACUCAUAUACUUCAAUAAAAAUGAGCUAAUAAAAAAAAGUUAUUUUUGAAUCUAUCUCAGAUACAUACUACAUUUGCAGGUGUGUGAGUUGCAAUGCAAAGUUAUUAAUCCACUUUCAUUAGCUUAAAACCAAAACAAAACAAGCUUUUAAGAUUCAGACACACAGGGUAUUGCUAGAGGCUACUGUACUUCUUAAAAAACUGAGGCUGUGAUAACAUGAAACACCAUGGACAGCGGUCAGACAAACCUGUCCCCCUCGUGCUCAUGCUGCUUAUGGGCUACGUAUACAAACUUGGACCAAAUUUCCAACCCUAACUACUCAUUUAUAAACAGGAGUACCAACAGUGGCAAAGAUGCCAUUACUAGCCAAGGGCUCUGAAACAAUCAUACAAAUUGAGUACGGUAUAUCUUUCCAGGCUUCCUUUAGAUACAUCUUUUAUCUUUUAACUCAUUUAUCACACCUUGGGUUUUCUGCUCUAUUCAGCUGAACUUAAUUCUCACUCAAAGGAUCAGCAUCAUGAUAAAGAAGUGAGACUUGAUGCCUGUACGGAUGGUGGUGGCCCGAGAGGGUCAUAUUUAACGGGGGGAAAGGCAUUCCAGGUUUGCUCUUUUAACUACAAGUUUACAGAGCUCUAAAACAGAGGUCCCAUCCGACAAGAUCAAAGCUGCAAGAGAAUGCACAGUGAGGUACAGAGAGAUGGAAGGAUCUUGGAUUUGAUUGAUGAUGCUUGGCAAGAAGACAAGUUGCCUUAUGAGGAUGUUGCAAUACCACUGAAUGAGCUUCCUGAACCUGAACAGGACAACGGAGGCACCACAGAGUCUGUUAAUGAACAAGAGAUGAAGUGGACGGACUUGGCCUUACCAUACCUCCAUGAGAAUGUUCCACCCGUAGGAAACUGACACCUGGCUCCUUGUUCAUCGACAGAUUUUUUUUUUUUUAAUACAGAUACAAAACAUUUUCUUUCCGUCUAACUUAAAUCUUUUAGUGAUAGGUCAAUGCUCAAAAAUAUACAACUAAUUUUGUGGCAACAACAUGUAAUGUGAAAAUACUCAAAUCAGGUUGAGAAGUUGUUUGCAGUUUCUUAGGGAUGUAGAACAUCUGGCCCUUUGCAGCUAAAGUUCUUCAUUGACUAGCUUGUGUUUGAACAUGAUUCAUUAAACAUUUGCCUUUAA